CCAAACCCCAGGUUACUCUCCAGCUCCGAGGGAAGGUUAGCCAGAGCAGCUCAGCUUUCCAGUAAGACUUAACCUAAUUCCCCAGACAGAAAAGGGCUUAGUGAGAACAAGAUGAGCAUCAAAGCAGAGAUCAUCAGGAAUAUUUUCUCGUUAUUUAAUAAACAAAUGCCGAGACGUUUUAAGACAAACACCAGCUGCCCCGCACUGCUGUGAAUGUUGCAGAGAACACAGGGAUGUGGGACUGCUUCGUCUUGUGCUAUCUGGAGCCUGAGUUUAUGAGGGGCUGUGUGUUUAUCUCGGGAUUGGGAAUAUAACCAACUCCUGAUUACCUUACCAGGGCUAAUGGAUAGUCAUAAAUAUUCCAAGCAGCUGAAAAAAAAUCGAAGAAUAAUUUUUGCAGACACAUUUUUAAGCUGGGGAUGACCUUGAACGUCUGAGGAUGACCUGGAACGUCUGAGGAUGACCUGGAACGUCGUCUGGUCCUCACAGGUGCAGAGAUGACAGGAAGCUGAGGUAAAGAGAAGAUGCUGGAAAUGUGAGAGACAAGCUAGCAAAGUGGCCUCUGCAUCAGCUCCUGCCUCCAAGUCCCUGCCACAUCUGAGUUCCCGUCCUCACUUCCUCUGGUGAUGAAAUGUGAUAUGGAAACAUGGAGCACUGUAAGAUAUGUGGAUAACCGAUGAGUCCUGUCAACAACUCCAUACCCAAGCUUGCACAAGCACAUCUCCAUUUCCAACCUAAACCAAUCUGGGUGAUGAGGACAGAAGACUUUGAAUAUGGGUACAGUCUAAGUCCGUGAGGGAAAGAGGAGGAAGGCAUUCAUUUUUAUCAAGAGUCUAGGCUUAUCUUUUUCUGUCACAUAGGAAAGCAAGAUGAGAUGAAAAGAAGCAGAAAACAGAGAGAGCACGAACAGGGAAAGGAGGGGGAGGAGAGAAAGGAGACAGGGAAGCUGGUGGUAAGAAGGAGCAGUGGAGGGGGGGGGGGGGAGUUGGAAAAUGAGUCCCUGUCAUCAAGGGAAGGACAGAGUCCCAUUAGGAAAUCCAGGAGGCUGUAAUGCGGAGACUGGUGUUUCUCCAUCCAGGGAACUCAUAGUCUCCUCUCCAUCUCUACCCCCUCACUCUCUUUCCCUCUCUCCCUCCCUGCCCCCUCCACCUCUCCUCCUCCUCCUC